rnacentral:tRNA from 1 species
GCUCGGUUAAUUAAGUGGUCAAAGACCUCCGACUUUCUAUCGGAUAACAUGGUUCGAAUCCCAUACCGAGUA